AUUGAACGCUGGCGGCACGCCUAACACAUGCAAGUCGAGCGGCAGCGCGAUAUGUAGCAAUACAUAUUGGCGGCGAGCGGCGGACGGGUGAGGAACACGUAGGAACCUACCCUCGAGUGGGGGAUAACCAAGGGAAACUUUGGCUAAUACCGCAUGAACUCGAGAGAGCAAAGCUGCCGCAAGGUAGCGCUCGAGGAGGGGCCUGCGUCCGAUUAGCUAGUUGGUGAGGUAAGAGCUCACCAAGGCGAUGAUCGGUAACUGGUCUGAGAGGACGACCAGUCACACUGGGACUGAGACACGGCCCAGACUCCUACGGGAGGCAGCAGUGGGGAAUAUUGGACAAUGGGGGCAACCCUGAUCCAGCGAUGCCGCGUGAGUGAAGAAGGCCUUCGGGUCGUAAAGCUCUUUAGGUUGGGAAGAAGGGUGAUGGAGGAAAUGCUAUCACUUUGACGGUACCGACAGAAUAAGCACCGGCAAACUCUGUGCCAGCAGCCGCAGUAAAAC
rnacentral:rRNA from 1 species